rnacentral:rRNA from 1 species
CCCUUAGAUGUUCUGGGCCGCACGCGCGCUACACUGAUGCAUUCAACGAGUUUCUUCCUGGUCCGAGAGGAAUGGGAACCUUUUGAAAGUGCAUCGUGAUAGGGAUAGACUAUUGCAAUUAUUGGUCUUCAACGAGGAAUUCCUAGUAGACGUAGUUCAUCAGACUGCAUCGAUUACGUCCCUGCCCUUUGUACACACCGCCCGUCGCUCCUACCGAUUGAAUGCUCAGGUGAGCCAUUCGGACUUUCAUCAUGCUGGUUUCCAGUUUUGAUGAAGGAAAGUCUUGCGAACCUUAUCAUUUAGAGGAAGGAGAAGUCGUAACA